ensembl:lncRNA EPIC1 epigenetically induced MYC interacting lncRNA 1
AUUGCAAACACGAAGCUCUUCCAGAAACGCCCUCACAGACACCCCGGAAGUCACGUACCCACUCUGUAGGUGCCCCGGGGCACAGGCAAGCGGACGAGCCAGUUAUCCCUCAGAGCUCCUGCUGCCUCGCCCGCUUUCUCUCGGAAACGUGAAGUGUGGCCUCAGCUGAAAGUGAGGUGGGCCUCAUUCAAUCAGUUGAAUUCUUCAAGAGAGAAAAACUGAAGUCCCUUAGAAGGAAAGAGUUCUGCCUUCAGACUGUCUUUGAACUUAAGACUGUAGCGUCGACUCCUGCCGGAAUUUCCAGCCUGCUGGCCAGCUCUGCAGAUUCACACUUGCCAGCCUCCACAAUCGCAGCUGAGGCGGAGGAACCCUAAGGGCUCAUUGAGAUCAUGGAUUUGCCCUUCUAUGCAUUGAUGGAGCACCUGCUGCCCACAGCGUCUGUAUUUGGUGCUGGGAUGCUGAGCCUCCUUCUUUAUGAAUUUUUAAAAGGACACUGAGAUCUUCAAACAGAGGCUGCCACUCUAAGCAAACAGAUCCCGAGCCCUGGACUCUGAAGCUUGGGCCCAGUUCUCCUUUUCUCCGGGUUUCAGAUCCCACUGUGAAGUGAGGGGGCCCUUCUGAUUCAGGACCCGGGGAAGCCAGGGGCAUGAGCAUCGGUGCCUCUUCUCUAUUUCAAGGACCCUUCUGGGUGUAAAGUUCUCUGAGAUGCCUUACAUGGAUUCCCACCACUGCAAGAUAACCAUCGUGUCCUUUGGAAGAUGAGGAUGAAGCUCUUGUGAAUGGAAUUCGUGACCUUAUAGAAGAAGCCCAAGAGAGCUGCCUUGUCCUUUUUACCACGUGAGGACACAGCAAGAAGGUGCCGUCUGUGAACCAGGAAGCAAGCUCUCACUAGAUUUGGAAUCUGCCGAUGCCUCCGUCUUGGACUUCCCAGCCUCUGGGACAGGGAAGGAGUGACAGCUUCCAAACUGUUGAUCUGUCAGUGCUGAAACCAGCAGGUCCCUUCAGCGAGGGCCAAAUGAGCGGAACUCUCCAGGAUACGUCUGAUUUAUAUGAUGCCCUCUCUGGGUCAGCAGCUUCAGUCAUGAAAACCUGCAAAACUGAAGCGCCCUUUGGCCAGCUGCUGGUUCUGCGACAUCACAGGGAGUCUGGCAUCCACACACCAAUUCUAGGCAAGGAAGCAAAGGAGCUUGCUCUUCAGCUUCUGUGGGCCCAUUUGUGAGUUUGAGCGGGUGCAGCCUCUCCUUGAAACAGAGGCCAGGUCCAUGGCAUGAGUCUUUUGUUCAGACCAAUGCCCCACUGGAGGGUCUGGGAGCUGCCGAGCCAGAUUCCUGGGUGUGCCUGGGUGCUGUACCCGAAACUGCAGGGCCUGGGGCACCUGCCCUGCUCUCAUUGUUACUAGCUGGUUUAUUCUCAGUGGAGGGUUGUAAUUUAAUUCCUGUAGUUCUGCAGUACAUGGAGUUGGGAAUUAUAUCCUUCCUCUGUGUUUUCAUUACACUGACCUUCCUGCUUCAUUGCUCCUGAGACGGGAACCUCACCUGCCUGGCCUUUGUCUCCUUCUUCCCCAGAACCUCCCGAGACCUCUCAUCUGCUGAUUUGACAUGAAACCCCCUGCCCACCCCAGCUUGGCCCCAGCAGAUGUCUGGGCAGAGCCGUUACCCAGACCUCUGAUUUUUCCCAGGCUGUUUGCCCCUGAAGGUUCUUUUUUCUCUACCCACCACCCCGACCCUGGCGGCUGGCUCAGGUCAGCCACAGGAACAGCCAUAUCUUUCCUGCAGCCUCACAACAGCUUCAGUGCCUUUCUGGUCCCACAAUCUUACCCGUGUCUUAUUGCCCCAUCCUCUCCCACCUUGGCUGCAGCUUGCAGAAGAGAGACCUGGUUAGGAGUCAGGCAAACCCUGGCUCCCAGCUGCUUCUGAUGUGACUUUAGUGAAGUGGCUAGACCUCUCUGAACCCUAAAUUCCUAAUCCCCAAAUCCAAGAUCUCUACAGUUGAGGAUGAUAUGACUUCACAGGGCUGUCAUGAGGACUAGAUCCAACGGACGGAAGCCUUGCUGCAUGGUCGGUGUGUGCAUCGAUAAAGGUGGCUCAGGCCAGCUCCCUCCCCCACGCCUGGCUCAGCGCAUAUUUUGCCUCGGAGUGUCCAGCCUUUACUCUCUCCUCUCGUGUGAGCUGGAACUGUCCCAGCAAGUGAUGAGCAAGUUCAGCGCUCUGCCUACCUGUGUGGAUUCUGAGUAGCAUGGCACACCCGCUCCCCACCCACACGUGUGGCUCACUCUGGGCAUAGGGAGACUCGGGCAACCUGGUCCCUGGUCUGAGUCCAACCAAGGGUGGUGUGUUUGCAUCUGAUGACAUUGCUACAAAUCUCUUCUGGCUCAAUUGAGGACGUCCUCCUCAAAUUGCCCUUCCAACUUUAUUUCCAUAGUUGUCUUCUCCAUUUGGUUUCCAACAUGCAUACCUUUCCAGGCUGCCUCACAGGUGCAUCAGGUGAGAGCCCCGGGAGAGGCCAGCAGAGGAGGCCUGGAAGCACCCACAGCCACGUGAGUGUGGAGAAUGGAGGGUUAAAGCGAAGAGUUGCUAACAGUCUCAGCCACUUUAUUCUUUUUUGUUGUUGUUUGCUUCUUUGUUUGUUUGUUUUGAGAUGCAGUUUCGCUCUUGUUGCCCAGGGUGGAGUGCAAUGGCGCCGUCUCAGCUCACUUCGACCUCUGCCUCCCGUGUUCAAGCAAUUCUCCUGCUUCGUAGCUGGGAUUACAGGUCAUUUCGCAGGAAUAAUGCCUGUGUGGAAUCCUCUUUGAAAAACACUGGCUUCAAUUCCUGGGAUACCAUGGCGAAGUUCAAUGUAUACCUACAUGCUCCCCAGCCAGGGAGGUUGUGACUCUGCAGGGUUGUGAGGCUCAGGCUGGGGCCAGUGCCUGCUCACCUUCCUCUUGGUUCCCUAAGAAGCCUCCCGUCAACCUGCAGCCUGAUGUGGGAAUGGCACUGACCAAUGGCUGGAUGGGGAGGAAGAAAUGGUGGCUGUCCUCAUGGAGGACUCAGUGUGGAGUUGGAGGUGUCAGGAGAGGGGUCCUCGGCAAGGGAUUCCAUGACUCCCAUGGCACAGCGUCUUCUCCUGCACACGGCUUCUUGUCAGCACACGUCUAAUGCCUCCUUGUUUCCAAAGUACCUUGUAUAGUGUCUGUUAUGGUGUAAGCAUUUAGCAAAUGUUCAAUGAAAGAAUAGAAAUCAUAUCUUGGAAUUUUGAGAAAUACUGUCUUGGGAACGAUAGUGAGCAGAUAGUAUAAUUAAAACCAGAUGCCAAGGAGAUUUUCUAACUGUCUCAGGGCAUGACAUUCCCAUCAUUUAUUUGGUAAAAAUUACUCUCUGCUCCAUCUUGAAGCCAGCUCUUUCCUGGCACUGGAAACGCAAUCUAAAUAGCGUUUAAUUCCAGGGAAGCUUUUAUCAAUUCCUGCUCAUGUUCCAACUUGACUUCAGGCCAACCUGGAUUGGCCCAAUUUGCUGCAAGUCUGUCUCGGCUCAAGGCAGCCUCGUGGGGCAGUUGGGAUUCUUGCUGCCUUCACAAGCCACAGCCAGAACAUGGAAUAGGCAACCUCACAGCACCGUUUUGAUGUGAGCUGCUGGAUACCAGACCAGGCUCCUUCCCUUGUGUCUGCUUUACCUGUAGGUCUACCUCCAAGGGUGGAGGCUGGGACCCUACUUGGAAGGCAGGAACACCUGUCCAGCUGGGAGAGGAUGAUGGUGGGGCCAGGCUCUGGCAGCUGAGGUGGAGAGAAGGAAACUGACUUGGGAUAUUUUCAGGGAAAGAGCACCAGGACCUGCUGAUAUUGGACAUGAUGGUGAGGGGAGAAGGCAGAGAAGGACCAGGACCUGCUGAUAUUGGAGGUGAUGGUAAGAGGAGAAGGCAGAGAAGGUGCAGGCAAGUGAGGAACCACAGAUCUCUGUUGGGCUGGGCCAGCUGGAUAGCCAUGGCUGCCGUGCACAGCUUUAUCACUGGAACUGCAAGGGAGGAGAGGAUCUUUCAUAAAAGGGGGCAGCUCCCUGGGCUAUAAAAGGCAAGGCUGCCAGGGUGAGCACAGGAGAGGCAAUCAGGUGGGUUUGGGGUGAAAAGGGAGGCAGCUGCUGUUUUCUCGGGAAGGGUGAGAUGUUGCUGGGCUGAGGAGGUCAGGGAGGGUGUGAAAUAGCUUUUCUGCACAAAGGAGAGGGAAACGUUUAACAAAUACAUUAGGAUUGCUGGGGGUUUCGCCUGCCUGUUUGAGGACUCGUGAGUCCAGCCAGCGCAGUAGCGUGUGUCACUGUGAGCACAUUCAGCAGUUGGGGAGGGGCAGGGCAGAAGGAGAAAGGGGCUUUAGUGGGUCUGAGGAAAUGGGAGGUGGGACAGGGACUCAUUAGAGGGUUUCUAAUGAUGGUCCUGGAGUCUAAUUGAAGCAAAGGGCGAAGCAGGACAUAAGGGAGAGACAGGUCUGGAAAAAGUGGUUGAUGGUCAAUUGAUGCCACACCAAAAUGAAAAGAGCUUGAUUUUGGCCAUGAAGAUGAUGAAAUGGGGGCAUUACAAGAAGGAUGUGGGGAGAGAGGUGGUGAGCUGAGGCUGACAGGCUCUUGCAAUUCUGAAGACAAGAUUGCCCAAGAUAUGAUGUAGGAGGGCAUGGGGGUAAGGAAGACAUGGCAGGUGGGGAGAGGAGAGGCCGGUCCUCGGGGAUGCUGAUGUCAGGGAGGACGAUGAAGGCAGACAUGAGGCCAAGGUGGGAAGGUGGGUUCAUGUCUUUAACAAAUGCGGGAGGCAACCAGGCUCUCAGAGGAUGACAGCAGAUGACACCACACACAAUCAGAGGGGCUGGGGUUUUUGAGCUAGGAAGAAAAUCGCAAAAGUAUCAAGGAACACUGGUCUGAAUCCCAGGCCUGUGCUGCAGGCAUGUGAGUGAAAUUGUCCCAAAUGGACAGGACACGGGGUGGAGGCGUUCUCAGCUGGAUCUCAAAGCAGAAGAAAGUGAGACUAUCCAGAGAGGAAGUUGCGAUACAGGAGGUUUAGACAGGAGGCAGUGAUUAGGGAGGGCACAGCAGGAGGGAUUUUCAUGCAGCAGGAGUGUGGGAAGCACCCUGCCAUCUCAGUUGGGAUCUCUAGCUUGCUAUAUUCUAAGAGUAGGGGUGAAACAGAUGUAGCCUGAGCUUUACAGAGAUGGCAGCUCAUUCUUUGAACAUCUCAGUCCAUGUUUGGAUUAAAGUGAUCUGUUGGCUCCAUUUAUCUAAAAGAGGAUACAGAACUCUCCUCAGAGGAAGGCAGUAGCAGCCAGAGUCUCAGGAACUUUAAUGGGCAUUGUUCAGCUUUCAACAGAAAGGAAGCAUGCAUAUGAGACAGGGCAAAGGGAACAAACAGAAAUCAAACUCAGACCCACAGAUGACCCAGAUAUCAGAGAUGGUUGACACUGUUGUUAAAAUAAUUGUGAUUAACACGUUAAAGUAUUAUUUGAAGAAAUACUUUAAAUAAGUAUUUAAAGUGAAAUCCACAAAAAAGAAUCCAAUGGGAUGGUGGGCAAAGGCAGGAUAACAACUUCCCAAAGGUGCCCAUGUCCUGGCACUCAGAACGUGUGAAUGGGCUAUGUCACAUGGCGAGAGGUACUUAAGAUUGCAGAUGGAAGAAAAACUGCUAACAAGCUGAUCACAACUUAAGGACAUUAUCCUUAAUUUAGGUAAUUACACAGUUCCUUAAAUGUGGAGGAGGGAGAAAGAAGAAUUACUGUCAGAGUGAUGUGAUAUAAGAAAUACUUGAACGGCUAUUAUUAGCUUUGAAGAUAGAACUGGUUCAUGAGCCAAAUAAUGCAGGCAGGCUAUUAAAGCCAAAAAAUGCAGCAAAUCCAAGUCUCUCCUAGAGACUGUAGACACAAACAUAUCCCUGCCAAUACCUUGAUUUUAGCCCCGUCAGAUCCACUUUGGACUUUUCUCCUCAAGUAUAUAAGAUAAUAAAUUUGUGUUGUUUUAAGCUGCUAAGUUUGGGGAAAUUUGGAGUAACAGCAAUUCAAAAAAAUACAGAUUUUGGUACUUGAAGGUGUGGUUCUGCCAUAACAAAGGACUAAAAAUGUGAAAUGGGUAAUCCCAGCACUUUGGGAGGCUGAGGCGGGUGGAUCACAAGGUCAGGAGAUUGAGGCCAGCCUGGCCAACAUGGUGAAACGCUGUCUCUACUAAAAAUACAAAAAAUUAGCCAGGCGUGGUGGUGGGUGACUAUAGUCCCAGCUACUCGGGAGGCUGAGGCAGGAGAAUCUCUUGAACCCGGGAGGUGGAGCUUGCAGUGAGCCGAGAUUGCACCACUUCACUCCAGCCUGGGCAAGAGAGCCAGACUCCAUCUCAAAAAAAAAAAAAAAAAAAAAGUGAAAUGGCUCUGGAAUUGGACAGUAGGGAAAGGCUGGAGGAAUGUUGAGGACAUGAUAGAAAAAGCUGAGAUUUCCUUGGACAGUCUGUUGUAGAAACAUGGAUGCUAAGGGUGACCUUAGUCAAGUCUCAAAAAGAAAUGAGCAUGGUAGAGAAAGCCCUUAUCGUUCUAGAGGAGAAGAAAUCACCAUGCAUACCAAGUAGGUAGAAAUAUGGACAUUGAAGGCGUGGCUGGGGAGAACUCACAAGGACAUGAGAAGGACAUUAAGGAAUAUAAGGAAAGGCCGCCUUUGUCAAAUAGCAGCAGGGAGCUUAGCUGAAUUGUGUUCUGCAAUUGUGUGGAGAGCAAAACGUUGGACAAUGAACUUAGAUAUUUAACUGAAGAGGUUUCCAAGUAAAGUGUUGAUGGUGCAGUCGUUUUUGUUUGUUUUUUUUUCUUGCUACUUACACUAAAAUGUGAAAGGAAAAAGGAUUGAUUGAAGCAAGGGCUGUUAAGCAAAAAGGAACCAAGACUUGCUGUUUUGCGGACUUCUCAGGCUACUGAGAUUGCAAAUCGUGCUUAAAUUAAGAGAUUCAGGAAAUGUCAGAACAGCCCUCUCUGCCAAGAGCCACAGGUGUGGCUGAAUAAAAUUUGUGCUAGUGGCUUUCAGGAAUCAAAGGUCAGAGUAUUUGGUUACACUGGAGGCUCUUCGAAGAGAUUAGGCAUGUGACUCCCGGAUUCCCCUCAGCCAUCUCAGCCAAAGCCAGAAAUAGAGAUGAUUAUCUGGGGAAGAUCUGCAGAGGAGCCCAUUGUCUAAUGGAGUUAAUCCCCAUGGAGAGCUACAAGGGCCUUAAAAAUAUUCUACUGGCAGGAAAGCUGCCUGCCAGCUUGUACCAAAGGGUCAAAAGAAAGAAGGCUAUUGGACCCCAAAGAUUCCACAGGCAUAAAACUAGCUCUAAGUGCUACCCGGCUGCAAACAUAUGCUUCCUUUUGUUUAAAAAGAAGGAUGGUUUCUGAGGGUGAAGCUGCAUGCCCAGAGGACAAAGUUGUGAGUCACGGAAAUCAUUCCCAUGCCGUUUGAAACUCAAAUGGAGUUCUUGGAUUGCAAAAUUGCUUGGGACCAGGGACUUCUGUCUUCCUUUCCAUUUUUUUUUCCUUUUUGAAUGGAAAUAUCUAUAGCUGUGACUCUAUCCUUGUCUCACUAUUUUAUUUAGAGCACAAGAACAUGUUUCUUGACUUUCACAGAUCAGGAAUAAUUUUGACACAAGAUGGGUGUAUGCAGACCUUCAUCUUAAAUGUUAAAUUUUUUAUAUGCAAGGAUUUAGGACUUGUGCACUGAUGAGAUUUAGAUACAAUUUUGAACUUUGAGUUAAUGCUGUAAUGAGAUGAGGCUUUGGUGAUCCUAAGAUAGAAUAGACGUGUUUUCCCGGUGGAACACAUGUGAAUCUUUAGAGGCCAGAGGGCAGAUUGUGUCAGGCAGGACAGUGCCUCCCUCCUGCAAAAGAUGCCCACAUUCAAUCCAUGAAUAUGUGAUGUUACAUUUAAAAAAUCAUAUGAUAAUAAAUUUGUGUUGUUUUAAACCA